rnacentral:rRNA from 1 species
GACAGAGGUGCCGAGCGUUAGGCGGAAUCACUGGGCUUAAAGCGUGUGUAGGCGGGCCGUUAAGUAUCGUUGUGAAAUCCCUCGGCUCAACCGAGGAACUGCGCCCAAACUGUCGUGCUCGAGGGAGACAGAGGUGAGCGGAACUUAGGGUGGAGCGGUGAAAUGCGUUGAUAUCCUAAGGACACCGGUGGCGAAAGCGGCUCACUGGGUCUCUUCUGACGCUGAGGCACGAAAGCUAGGUAGCGAACGGG